rnacentral:misc_RNA from 1 species
GUACUUCUUAAGUUAGAUAGGUUAGGGUUAUUUUUUUUUGUUAAACGAAACUGUCGUUAAACGUACUUUUUAAGUUAGAUAGGUUAGGGUUAUUUUUUUUUUUUUUUGUUAAACGAAACUGUCGUUAAACGUACUUCUUAAGUUAGAUAGGUUAGGGUUAUUUUUUUUUUUUUGUUAAACGAAACUGUCGUUAAACGUACUUCUUAAGUUAGAUAGGUUAGGGUUAUUUUUUUUUUUUUUUGUUAAACGAAACUGUCGUUAAACGUACUUCUUAAGUUAGAUAGGUUAGGGUUAUUUUUUUUUUUUUUUUUUUGUUAAACGAAACUGUCGAUAAAUGUUUAAUUAA